GCUCCUGUGGCCUAAUGGAGAAGGCGUCGGUCUCCUACGCCGGUAUCCAUGUUGUGGGCACCUGUACGGUGUGAACCGAAGAUUGCGGGUUCAAGUCCCGCCAGGAGUA
rnacentral:tRNA from 1 species